rnacentral:tRNA from 1 species
GCGCCGGGGCAGGGGCCGGGCUCCGGUGGGCCUGGCGGGCCCGGUGGGCCGGGAGCGGGUCCGGGUGGGCGGUUCCAGCCGCCGCCCCCGUCGUUC